ensembl:lncRNA
AGAGGAGAGGACAGGACAGGACAGGACAGGACAGGACAGGACAGGACAGGACAGGACAGGACAGGACAGGAGAGAAAAAAAGAAAAGAAAAAAGAAAAGAAAAGAAAAGAAAAGAAAAGAAAAGAAAAGAAAAGAAAAGAAAAGAAAAGAAAAGAAAAGAAAAGAAAAGAAAAGAAAAGAAAAGAAAAGAAAAGAAAAGAAGAGAAGAGAAGAGAAGAGAAGAGAAGAGAAAAGAAAAGAAAAGAAAAGAAAAGAAAAGAAAAGAAAAGAAAAGAAAAGAAAAGAAAAGAAAAGAAAAGAAAAGAAAGGAGAAAAGAAAGGAGAAAAAUGGCUUCCCAACCUCAUCCUCCGAAGCAUGAAUUUUUUCAUGUCAGCUGUGACCUGUGAACAAAUUGGCACUGGUUGCAAAAGUACCUGUGCCAUUUUGAUCAUGCAGCUUCAUCACAGAUGUCAGACAGGGCAACGUGCUGGGGAAUCAUGGAAAAAGGCACUGGGAAAACAGCUAUCCACUCCUUGCAGUAUUCAGGAGAGCUGCUUGUCUUUGCUUCUCAGGACAAAACAUACAAAAGAGAGUUGAUGGAGAGGAACUUGAUGAGGUUCAACAAGAGCAAGUGUAGAGUCCUACUUCUGGGGAGGAAUAAUGGCACACAUCUGUACGAGUUAGGGUCUGACCUGUUGGAAAGGAGCUCUGCAGAGGAGGACUUGGGGGGUCCUGGUGGACAACAGGUUGGCCAUGAGCCAGCAGUGUGGCCUGGUAUAUUGUGAUGAGUCAAGAAGAGUGUGGCAAGCAGGUUUAGGGAGGUGAUUCUCUCCCUCUGCUCUGUCCUGGUGAGGCCAUAAAUGGAUUACUGUGUCCGGUUCUGGGCUCCACAGUUCAAGAAAGUUAGGGAACUGAUGGAGACAGUCCAGAGGAGGGUCACAAAGGUGAUUAGGGGUCUAGAGCAUCCCCUUAUGGGGGAAAGGCUGAGAGAUCUGGGACUGGUCAUCCUGGAGAAGAGAAGGUCGAGCAGAGGUCUUAUCAGUACUCGUAAAUAUCAAAGGACAAAUGUCAGGUGGAUGGGGACAGGCUCAAAAAGAAAGAACUUCUUUACCAUGAGAGUGAUAGAGCACUGGCACAAGCUGCCCAAGGAAGUGAUGAAGUCUCUUUCUCUGGAGAUAUUCAAGAGCCUACUGGACACUUUCCUGUGUGACUGGCUGUAGGGAACCUGCUUUAGCAGAGAGCUGAACUUGGUGAUCCCCAGAGGCCCCUUCUAGUCCCUAUGGUGCUGUGAUUUUGUGAUUCUCUGAAACAGAAAUCAGAAGAUGGGACAGAGGGUAAAAAAACAGAAGAAUAGUGAGAAAAGCCCUAUAGGAUACUUAAAUGUGGUAGGAUAUAUGCUCUAGACUAACCACAUGCAUAUGGGGAGUUAUUUAGGAAGAGCUUUAGGAACUUUAAAACCAUCACAGGCCUUUAAUCUGAGACAACGUCUUGCAUAGACAAGCCCCCAGGCCCUGAUAUGCCAAAACCUUUCAGCAUGUGUUUAAAUCCUCUUAAUCUCUAUGUGACACGUUGUUCUCUAAGUGCUUUGCUGAACCGUGGAUGUCAUUGCUAAAACACUGCAAGGCUUUGCCUCCUGCUGCUCACGCACACAUUAGGGCCAGGCUCUGCUGCAAAACAUGGAAGUUUUUGGGACACAUUGGAAGGGAACUGCCUUAAUGUACAUAUACGGCAUUCUUUCAUAGGACCUGAGAUCUGAGUCAAGGGUUUAAAUCUGGAAGUUGAUCAGCCAUUAGGUUUUCUAGCAUUUCCGUGGAUCAAAAAAAAAAUGUUGCCAUUUCCAUCAGUAGAAAAUUACUUGGUUCAUCCUCUACCAUGGGAUUUACCUGAAAGAGGACCAUCCACACCAACACAACAAUAAACAAACCAGACCUGGGACUUUCUAAGAGUGUUUAUGGCUGUCAGCUGAACAAGCCCCAUGGGAAGCAAGCAGCAAGAGGGUGGGCAGACAACACCCUCUGGUAUUGCAGCUUGAAGACAUGGGGCAAUGUGGGGAAUGGAUACUCCCACCCCUUAUUAGAUUUGGAGACAGUGGGACAGAGUUUUCUGGAUUACAUUUCUGAAGAGACAUAAUUAUGAGACUCAAGGCAAUGUUUGGAACAUCACCUCCUUGUGAACUCUUAGCACUGCUACUUUGGGAAAGAAAGAAGAAAUCAGAAGAAAGAUGCUGGGCUGGAAAUGAGGCUCUGUGGCCAUCUGCUGCAGCAGGUGCAGUGACCUCUGAGAUGUGACACUCCCCCUCCUGCCCCACAUUGGUUGGACUUGAUAAUCUUAGUGGUCUUUGUCAACCUUAAUGAUUCUAUGAUUCUAUGAAAUUUGUUGGGAAUAUCCAUCAGGAUGCAUCAGAGGAGG